rnacentral:piRNA from 1 species
UCGAACCUUGUCUUCAUGGUGGAAGUCGA